rnacentral:lncRNA from 1 species
AAUAAAUAAUGUAAACUAGAUAUCAUUGAGAUGGGAGCCAUCUCUGUGGGCCCCGCUGUGAAUAAUGUGCAUUAAAAAAUUGUAUCUUUACCAUAAGACAUGGGUUUGUCAACUGAAAUCAAAGUUUUUGACCUUGACCUUUGACCUAGGAAGUUGUAAAUAAAUUAUGACACACCCUUUGGUGUUGGUUUAUAAACAUGUCAAGUAUAAACUUUGAAAUGAUAACGGUUCUCAAGAUAUAGAGCGGACACGAUCUUUACCAUAGGACAUGGGGUUGUCAACUGAAACCAAAGUUUUUGACCUUGAACUUUGCCCUAGGCAGUCGUUCAUAAAUUAUGACACACCCUCUGGUGUUGGUUCAUAUACAUGUCAAGUAUAAACUUUGAAAUCAUAACGGUUCUCAAGAUAUAGAGCGGACACGAUCUUCACCACAGGACACAGGGUUGUCAACUGAAACCAAAGUUUUUUUACCUUGACCUUUGACCUAGGAAGUUGUACAUACAUCAUGACACGCCCUCUGGUGGUGGUUAAUAAACAUGUAAAGUAUAAAGUAUGAAAUCAUAAUGGUUCUCUAGAUAUGGAGCGGACACAAAGUGUUACGGACGGACGGACAGACGGACGGACGGAUGGACAGACGGACGGACAGACUGAUCACUAUAGGGCGACCUGCCUUUGGCGGGGCCCUAAUUAACAAAGAAUAAAACAAUAUUUUAUUCUACAUUUUCAAAAAAAGGUGAAAUGUCAUUUUUAAAAAGAAACCUGAGUAACCUGUACAG